rnacentral:rRNA from 1 species
AGAGUUUGAUCCUGGCUCAGGACGAACGCUGGCGGCGUGCCUAAUACAUGCAAGUCGAACGCACUCUCGUUAGAUUGAAGAAGCUUGCUUCUGAUUGAUAACAUUUGAGUGAGUGGCGGACGGGUGAGUAACACGUGGGUAACCUGCCCUAAAGUGGGGGAUAACAUUUGGAAACAGAUGCUAAUACCGCAUAAAACCUAGCACCGCAUGGUGCAAGGUUGAAAGAUGGUUUCGGCUAUCACUUUAGGAUGGACCCGCGGUGCAUUAGUUAGUUGGUGAGGUAAAGGCUCACCAAGACCGUGAUGCAUAGCCGACCUGAGAGGGUAAUCGGCCACACUGGGACUGAGACACGGCCCAAACUCCUACGGGAGGCAGCAGUAGGGAAUCUUCCACAAUGGACGAAAGUCUGAUGGAGCAACGCCGCGUGAGUGAAGAAGGUUUUCGGAUCGUAAAACUCUGUUGUUGGAGAAGAACGUAUUUGAUAGUAACUGAUCAGGUAGUGACGGUAUCCAACCAGAAAGCCACGGCUAACUACGUGCCAGCAGCCGCGGUAAUACGUAGGUGGCAAGCGUUGUCCGGAUUUAUUGGGCGUAAAGCGAGCGCAGGCGGUUUCUUAAGUCUGAUGUGAAAGCCUUCGGCUCAACCGAAGAAGUGCAUCGGAAACUGGGAAACUUGAGUGCAGAAGAGGACAGUGGAACUCCAUGUGUAGCGGUGAAAUGCGUAGAUAUAUGGAAGAACACCAGUGGCGAAGGCGGCUGUCUGGUCUGUAACUGACGCUGAGGCUCGAAAGCAUGGGUAGCAAACAGGAUUAGAUACCCUGGUAGUCCAUGCCGUAAACGAUGAGUGCUAGGUGUUGGAGGGUUUCCGCCCUUCAGUGCUGCAGCUAACGCAUUAAGCAUUCCGCCUGGGGAGUACGACCGCAAGGUUGAAACUCAAAGGAAUUGACGGGGGCC